AUUCCAGAUUUAACCUCUCAGCUAAAUGAUAAGCAUCUGAAAACACUUAGUAAGACUGUCUUUUCUGAAACCUGGUUGAAAGGCAGCACAGUGGUUGCAAAUGAUGGAUUUUAUGUAAUACUGAAAGGCCUAGCUCGACCUCAAACAAACGUGUAUAAAAAUCUGAUUGAAGGAAGUGAUUCACCAGUCUCGUUCAUACCUCAGAGUUUCCACAGCUUCAUUUGGAGUGAAGAAUUCAAAAACUCUACACUUGCUGAGAUGUACCUACCUUCAUAUGACUCAAUGGUAAGAGAUGAGUAUUUGCUUUUUCCACAAGCAACAAGGUAACGGGCUUUUGUAAAACUUUAUCUCUUCCAGACAUUAAGAUCCAAUAUCUUUAGAGUCCUGAAAUAUUUAAGAUAAUAUAGCCUUUAAAAUAUAAAUGAUAUUAUUAAUACUGA
rnacentral:sRNA from 1 species